GAAUGUUUUCAAGCUUAUUUCUAUUUGUAGAUCGAUUGUGAUAUACAUGAAAACAGAAUCGUGAAGAGAUCCAACUCAUUGGUGGAACAACUGAUAAAAGUACAGAGUCAAAUACUGUUGGAGUACUGUCGUAAUAAUUCCCACAUAUGUCCAGAUAAUGAGUCACGUGAUUGUAAAUGCAAUGAGGCGCCUUUGAUCCAGAACUCAACAAAUCGUAUGUAUGCAACAAAUAAAACACACCUACUCAUCCCGUGUCACGUUACCGGAUAUCCACUGCCUUAUGUCACGUGGACAGUGAACGGAAGUAGAAUAUCGAGCAAUAACAAAUUUCUAGUCAGAGAAGAUGGACUUAUGAUACAACGUGUGACGUAUACUGAUCAUGGACGUUAUACAUGUACUGCACGUAAUAUUGUAGGAAUAAAUAGCAAUACGGUGACUUUGGACAUUAUACAAUCAAUUUAAACAUAUCUUUUUCAGAUAGAUGUUCAGUUGUAUAUUUGUUUGUUUAUGUA